UCCUCAGUAGCUCAGCUGGUUAGAGCAUCUGACUGUUAAUCAGAGGGUCGCUGGUUCAAGUCCAGCCUGAGGAG
rnacentral:tRNA from 1 species